UGUAGUUGACAGCUGCUAACGGUGCAGGGACGGGUCUAACAAAAUUCUGCCAGGGGGCCAGGUAGGGCAUUAACAGGGAAAAGGGGGCGCAAAGAAAUACUUUUAUUUCUUAUUCUCAUUUAAAAUGUGUAGCUUUUAAUAAAGAAUUAUCUGAAUCUUACAAUCAAAGUUUUCAUCUGAUGUAAAAUGUAUAGAAAUCAUACAUAUACCAACAAGACUGUACAUCACUGUCACAACAGCGUUUGUUUUCAUUCAAAGGCUUUAUGGCUUUAAUACCUGGUGGGCCGGUCUGUAGUCAAAAUGCCCGGGCCAAUUUUUUGUCCCAGUCCAGCCCUGGGCACGACACGCAGUGAAGUAAUCUGGGAAGGUGCAUUAAAAAAUAAAUGGCUGGGCCAGUGGUGCACAUCGCAAAUUAGCUCACAUAGACACAUUAGUUGUGCCUCUUCUUAAUGACGGUAUCUUAGCUAACAACCCCAACUACCAGAUUCAACUUGUAAUUGGCUAAAAAUCACUUAGCCUACCGGUGAGAGGGACGUUGCUAGCUGUCAGCUUUUUCAAGCAAUGUUGAAAGUUGCACAUUCAGACACUUCAAAAGCUUCAGGAGCAUCAGCACCACGUAAAUACUCGGAUACAUCCGGAUACUCAAGACAGAAUUCACAAUGUGUUUUUGGGACUUUCAGAUGUUUGGACCAACGUUUUCUUUUCUGAUCAAACCAGAAAGCUUUAAUGAGCAGCUGGAUUUGUGUCGCAUUAACUGGCUGCACACAGAGGACAUCAAAAUGCAGCUGAUUGAACUGAAAAGCUCGACUCUGUGGGGUCAAAGUUUGCAGAUCUACGAACACAGCUGGAAUCCACAGGUGAUGUUUUCUUUAAGUCAUUUCACAGAUUUUCUCUAUAAUUUCAGUUCCUUGAAUAAAACAACAAAUUUAGGGGAUGAUUUUGUAAUCCGACUUUAUGUAUGAAAGAUUUGACUAAACAUAAAACAAUCUUCCAACUCAGUCGUCAUUCUUAUCUUGUGAAAUCAAACCAAAUGUUCUGUUGUCUCUAAAUCAGGGAUUGAUGAAAUCUUUGGUUGCAUCCAUUUAUGAACAUGUUCUCAUUCAUAUUAAAUCGUAGUCUAAGUCCUUCUUUAGAGGGAUAAAUGUCAUUCAUUAUCUUCAAAUGUGUUUCUGUUGUUUUGGGGGGAAGUUUGAAGUCCAUUGUUCAAAGUCUGUUAAUGAAACUUUAUGAAGUUUAUGUAGGAUGUUUUUCCUAUUUUGUAUUUGUUUGAAUUAUGAUGUAUUUCUGACUCUUUCUGCCAUGAUGCCAGGUCUCUCUGGAAAACAACAUUUUUAAUCUCAAUUAAAUUUUCACCUCGAGAAAUAAAGAUGAUAAUAAUAAUUUUGUCUUCAGGGAAUCAUUUCUCUGUAAAACAGCUUCUUCUGAAACUCUUGUUACAUUUCUUGUUUAUUGUUUGCUGGUUUUAGAAAAAUGUCAUCGUCUCUGUGUGAACUUAAACUCUACAUGUGGUGUCAGCUAUAAACGAG
ensembl:lncRNA